rnacentral:rRNA from 1 species
UACGUAGGUGGCUAGCGUUGUCCGGAUUUACUGGGUGUAAAGGGCGUGUAGGCGGGCUUGCAAGUCAGGUGUGAAAUCCCAGGGCUUAACCCCGGAGCUGCAUCUGAAACUGUUUUUCUUGAGUGUCGGAGAGGAGAGUGGAAUUCCCAGUGUAGAGGUGAAAUUCGUAGAUAUUCGGAGGAACACCAGUGGCGAAGGCGGCUUACUGGAACGAUACUGACGCUGAGGUGCGAAAGCGUGGGGAGCAAACAGG